rnacentral:rRNA from 1 species
AUUGAACGCUGGCGGCAGGCCUAACACAUGCAAGUCGAGCGGAUGAAGGGAGCUUGCUCCUGGAUUCAGCGGCGGACGGGUGAGUAAUGCCUAGGAAUCUGCCUGGUAGUGGGGGAUAACGUCCGGAAACGGGCGCUAAUACCGCAUACGUCCUGAGGGAGAAAGUGGGGAAUCUUCGGACCUCACGCUAUCAGAUGAGCCUAGGUCGGAUUAGCUAGUUGGUGGGGUAAAGGCCUACCAAGGCGACGAUCCGUAACUGGUCUGAGAGGAUGAUCAGUCACACUGGAACUGAGACACGGUCCAGACUCCUACGGGAGGCAGCAGUGGGGAAUAUUGGACAAUGGGCGAAAGCCUGAUCCAGCCAUGCCGCGUGUGUGAAGAAGGUCUUCGGAUUGUAAAGCACUUUAAGUUGGGAGGAAGGGCAGUAAGUUAAUACCUUGCUGUUUUGACGUUACCAACAGAAUAAGCACCGGCUAACUUCGU